UNGGAAGCCCAAAGCAAGAGCACUUGCCAUU
rnacentral:piRNA from 1 species